GGGUGGUUGGUCUAGAUGGUAUGAUUCUCGUUUAGGGUACGGGCGGUCCCGGGUUCGAUUCCCGGAUCACCCC